AAUGAACGCUGGCGGCAGGCCUAACACAUGCAAGUCGAGCGGACGAAGGAUGCUUGCUCCUGGAUUCAGCGGCGGACGGGUGGGUAAUGCCUAGGAAUCUGCCUGUUAGUGGGGGAUAACGUCCGGAAACGGGCGCUAAUAACGCAUACGUCCUGAGGGUGAAAGUGGGGGAUCUUCUGACCUCACGGUAUCAGAUGUGCCUCGUUCGGAUUAGCUAGUUGGUGGGGUAAAGGCUUACCAAGGCGACGAUCCGUAACUGGUCUGAGAGGAUGAUCAGUCACACUGGAACUGAGACACGGUCCAGACUCCUACGUGAGUCAGCAGUGUGGAAUAUUGGACAAUGGUCGAAAGCUUGAUCCAGCCAUGCCGUGUGUGUGAAGAAGGUCUUCGGAUUGUAAAACUCUUUUAGUUGGGAGGAAGUGCAGUAAUUUUAUACCUUGCUGUUUUGACGUUACCUACAGAAUAAGCACCGGCUAACUUCGUG
rnacentral:rRNA from 1 species